AGCGAACGCUGGCGGCAGGCCUAACACAUGCAAGUCGAACGGAUCUUUCGGGGUUAGUGGCGGACGGGUGAGUAACACGUGGGAACGUGCCUUUAGGUUCGGAAUAGCUCCUGGAAACGGGUGGUAAUGCCGAAUGUGCCCUUAGGGGGAAAGAUUUAUCGCCUUUAGAGCGGCCCGCGUCUGAUUAGCUAGUUGGUGAGGUAAUGGCUCACCAAGGCUACGAUCAGUAGCUGGUCUGAGAGGAUAACCAGCCACAUUGGGACUGAGACACGGCCAAAACUCCUAGGGGAGGCAGCGGUGGGAAAUCUUGCGCAAUGGGCAAAAGCCUGACGAAGCCAUGCCGCGUGAAGGAUGAAGGUCUUAGGAUUGAAAAAUCCUUUCACCGGUGAAGAUAAUGACUGUAGCCGGAGAAGAACCCCCGGCUAACUUCGUGCCAGCAGCCGCCGUAA
rnacentral:rRNA from 1 species